CCUACGGGGGGCUGCAGUGGGGAAUUUUGCGCAAUGGGGGAAACCCUGACGCAGCAACGCCGCGUGAGUGAUGAAGGCCUUCGGGUCGUAAAGCUCUGUCAGAGGGAAAGAAGUGCAGUGGUGCUAAUACCAUCAUUGCUUGACGGUACCCUCAAAGGAAGCACCGGCUAACUCCGUGCCAGCAGCCGCGGUAAUACGGAGGGUGCGAGCGUUGUUCGGAAUUAUUGGGCGUAAAGCGCGUGUAGGCGGUUUUUUAAGUCUGAUGUGAAAGCCCCGGGCUCAACCUGGGAAGUGCAUUGGAAACUGGGAGACUUGAAUACGGGAGAGGGUAGUGGAAUUCCUAGUGUAGGAGUGAAAUCCGUAGAUAUUAGGAGGAACACCGGUGGCGAAGGCGGCUACCUGGACCGAUAUUGACGCUGAGACGCGAAAGCGUGGGGAGCAAACAGGAUUAGAUACCCCAGUAGUC
rnacentral:rRNA from 1 species